rnacentral:snoRNA from 10 species
AUGGCUUCUUUGUCUUAAGCUUAAAACUUAAUUUUAAUAAUUAUUUUUGAGCUUUUUUUUAUAAAGGAGCCUAAAUCGAUCGUUCUCCUCGCUAUCCAGUGUCUCGAUUAUGUAGCAUUUGGACGUUGGAGAACUAUAACU